GUCCACGCCGUAAACGAUGAUAACUAGCUGUCCGGGGACCUGGUCUUUGGGUGGCGCAGCUAACGCAUUAAGUUAUCCGCCUGGGGAGUACGGCCGCAAGGUUAAAACUCAAAGGAAUUGACGGGGGCCUGCACAAGCGGUGGAGCAUGUGGUUUAAUUCGAAGCAACGCGCAGAACCUUACCAGCGUUUGACAUGUCCGGACGAUUUCCAGAGAUGGAUCUCUUCCCUUCGGGGACUGGAACACAGGUGCUGCAUGGCUGUCGU
rnacentral:rRNA from 1 species